UAGAAUAGUAUUUAAAAUCCAUAAAAUCUAACUUGCACUUAGAAAUUGCUAAAGCCUAUUCUAA
rnacentral:tRNA from 1 species